UACAGAGGUCUCAAGCGUUGUUCGGAUUCAUUGGGCGUAAAGGGUGCGUAGGUGGCGCGGUAAGUCGGGUGUGAAAUUUCGGAGCUUAACUCCGAAACUGCAUUCGAUACUGCCGUGCUUGAGGACUGGAGAGGAGACUGGAAUUUACGGUGUAGCAGUGAAAUGCGUAGAGAUCGUAAGGAAGACCAGUGGCGAAGGCGGGUCUCUGGACAGUUACUGACACUGAGGCGCGAAGGCCAGGGGAGCAAACGGG
rnacentral:rRNA from 1 species